CACGUAGGCACCAAGCGUUGUCCGGAUUUAUUGGGCGUAAAGAGCUCGUAGGCGGUUCGGUAAGUCGGGUGUGAAAACUCUGGGCUCAACCCAGAGCCGCCACUGAUACUGCUGUGACUAGAGUGCGGGUAGGGGGAGCGGGGAAUUCCUGGUGUAGCGGUGAAAUGCGCAGAUAUCAGGAGGAACACCAGUGGCGAAGGCGCCGCCUCUGGGCCGUGACUGACGCUGAGGAGCGAAAGCGUGGGUAGCAAACAGG
rnacentral:rRNA from 1 species